rnacentral:lncRNA from 1 species
CUCUCUAGGUGUUCCUGGAAGCAUGAGAUUGCUUAUUAAGGCAUCAGUUUGCAAAAUUUGGAAGUAAAGCUAAAAAGUGAAACAGAGUGAAGGAGCAAAAAGAUAGGGUUGGAUAAACCAGUUUUAAAAUUGCGGCUUAACUGUACAACCUUUGGCAAAUGAUUUAACCUUUCUGAAUCUCAGUUUCCAUAUAUGUAAAAAUACUUCACUUGUAGGAUAAUGCAAGCAUUAGAAAUAAC